CUUUUCAGAAAGAAAUCUUUAUCAUUUGAGACAAGUGCACCGUAAAUAAAUACAAACAUGGAAAAACAACGGCAAACAACACUGGGACAGAAAUCAGCGGUCAACACACAAACUAUUGAAGAUUUACGGAAAGAAAAUGCUGCUCUUAGACUGAAACUACUGCUCCCUAUGCCAUAUCCGACGGAAAGGAG